rnacentral:rRNA from 1 species
GCUGGCGGCGUGCCUAAUAAUGCAAGUCGAGCGCGGGAAGCGAGUGGACCCCUUCGGGGUGAAGCUCGUGGAACGAGCGGCGGACGGGUGAGUAACACGUGGGCAACCUGCCUGUAAGAUCGGAAUAACCCCGGGAAACCGGGGCUAAUGCCGGGUAAUACUUUCUUUCGCAUGAAGGAAAGUUGAAAGAUGGCUUCUUGCUAUCACUUACAGAUGGGCCCGCGGCGCAUUAGCUAGUUGGUGAGGUAACGGCUCACCAAGGCGACGAUGCGUAGCCGACCUGAGAGGGUGAUCGGCCACACUGGGACUGAGACACGGCCCAGACUCCUACGGGAGGCAGCAGUAGGGAAUCUUCCGCAAUGGACGAAAGUCUGACGGAGCAACGCCGCGUGAACGAUGAAGGUCUUCGGAUCGUAAAGUUCUGUUGUUAGGGAAGAACAAGUACCGUGCGAAUAGAGCGGUACCUUGACGGUACCUAACGAGGAAGCCCCGGCUAACUACGUGCCAGCAGCCGCGGUAAUACGUAGGGGGCAAGCGUUGUCCGGAAUUAUUGGGCGUAAAGCGCGCGCAGGCGGUUCCUUAAGUCUGAUGUGAAAGCCCACGGCUCAACCGUGGAAGGUCAUUGGAAACUGGGGAACUUGA